AAAUCUUAAAAAAAAAUGUGUACUAAGGGUAUGUCUGUAUUCUAGACAGAGGGAUUAAAGGUGUGUGCUAAGGCUGAGCCAUACCACAACCAGUAACAGGGUUUUUCAUCAAACAACACAAUCUCAGGGUUCACAGUAUGAACAGAUAUCCUGCACCAGUAGGAACCGAACUUGGGCCCUAUGGUGGUUUGAAUAUGCUUGUCCCGGGGAAUGGUACACUAUUAUAAGGUAUGGCAAUGUUGGAGUAGGUAUGGCCUUGUUGAGACCGUGUGUCACUGUGAGGGUGUGCUUUGAGGCUCCUAUGUUUAAUCUCCAAGCCUAUGUGGAGUGACCCUCCUCCUGGCUGCUUGCAAAGGAGAAUACCCUUCUGGCUGCCUUUAGGUCAAAAUGUAGAGAACUCUCGACUCUUCCAGCUUCACUUCUGCCUGCAUGCUGCCAUAUUUUCUGCCAUGAUGAUAAUGGACUAUACCCCUGAAACUGUAAGCCAGCCCCAAUUAAAUGUUUUCCUUUAUAAGAGUUGUCUUGGUCAUGGUGUCUCUUCAUGGCAAUGGAAACCCUAAGACAGAAGUUGGUACCAGGAGUUGGGUAUUGAUGUGAUAGGCCUAUCCACAUUUUUGUUUGAAGGAAUAUGGAUUUUAGAACUUUGGAUUAUUAAAGCAAUGGAGUGCUUUACUGGGACUUAAUGGCCCAAAUUAGUAGAAGCAUGGAAGACAGUGGUCCUAAGGGUAAUUGGAACUGUGUGACCUUGGCUCAAGAGUUUUCAGAGGAGAAGAAUUUUAGAAUAUGGUCUAUAUUAUGUAGAAUUAGAAUUCUAGAUUAGAAUUUUAGAUAGUUCUUGUGAUAUUUUGGGGAAGACCUUGUCUGUGGCUGUUUUUUGCCUUUGUCAGAAGAAUCUGCCUGAGGCUAUGAUAAAGGGAUUUAGAUUAAUUGCAUUGACAAAAGAAGUCUCAAAAAAGGCUAGUUUAGACUUUACUCCUGUGGUUCAUUCUUUUUUUUUUUUUUAAAUAAGCAUUAUUAUUUUUUGAUUUAUUUAUUUAUUAAUAUGUAAGUACACUGUAGCUGACUUCAGACACUCUAGAAAAGGGCAUCAGAUCUCGUUAUGGAUGGUUGUGAGCCACCAUAUGGUUGCUGAGAUUUGAACUCAUAACCUUUGGAAGAGUAGUUAGUGCUCUUACCUGCUGAGCCAUCACACCAGCCCACUGUGGUUCAUUCUUAUGAAGAGCAUUUUGAUCAAGUGUAACAAGC
rnacentral:lncRNA from 1 species